UAUGGCCAUAUCACUUUAAUACGCCGGUUCACGUCAGAUGAACGAAGUUAAGCAAAGUCAAGCCUGGUCAGUACUUAGAUGGGUAACCGCUUAGGAACACCAGGGGCUGUAA